rnacentral:misc_RNA from 1 species
GUGGCCUUGGGGAGAGAAGGAGGUCAGGUACCAAAGCUGCAGACAAGCUUGGUAAGGGAAGUAAUGGGACAAUUUAAUGCACAAGGCUCCCAAGUUACUGACUCUAAUGAACUUGUAAGACCAUGGAAGGGAAAAGACACUUUGCUUGUGCAAGAAGAGUUAAUGCAUGAUGUUGUUACUUCUAAGGGAAGCAGUGAUUCCUUUGAUGAAGGU